rnacentral:snRNA from 1 species
GACGCGGGUGAUCACCUAAUAUUC